UUCUGCAUCCAAGAAGUGAGAGAGUGGGCAAGAGAUGCGCAUUUGCGAGAAUUGUUCGGAUUUAUAAUCAGAAAUUUAUUCUAUCCGUUGAUUAUAUUUUAUUAUUCGCUCUCGUCCCUUCUCUCUCCUUCCUCUUCUUUUUCGCGAAGAUGACGAUAAGAAAUGUAUCUCCCGGAAAAUGGGAUAGAAAAGAAAAGAGGUCGUGGAUUUUUUGAAAAUCUGAAAAUAUCUAUCACAAGGUAUCGAAAAUUUACGGGAUAUUUUGCUUAGAGAGGACAAGAAAUCGUUUUAGGAUUAUAAUAUCUUAGGUAUGCCGUCUGUUUUUACAUUAAGCAUUCACAGACGAAAAAUUUCAAUCGGCACGGCCUCUUUCGUCAUUUUAUUAAUUAAAUACUCGUCUAUAAUCUUAAUAGAGUGUUUCAGUCUAUGAAAAAAUUAAAUACAUAAUUCAAAAAAAAAAAAAAAGAAAAAAAAAAAAAAAAAAAAAAAAAAAAAAAAAAAAAAAACCGACGAA